AGCUCCAAUAGCGUAUAUUAAAGUUGUUGCAGUUAAAAAGCUCGUAGUUGGAUUUGUGGGGUCGGUGGUGGCGUCCAUUAGUUUGGUUCGGCCGCCUCCUCUCCAUCCUUGGGAGGAAUCUGUGUGGCAUUAGGUUGUCGUGCAGGGGAGUCCCAUCGUUUACUGUGAAAAAAUUAGAGUGUUCAAAGCAGGCUUAGGCCGUUGGAUACAUUAGCAUGGAAUAAUGAGAUAGGGCCACGGCGGUCUAUUUUGUUGGUUUGCACGUUGUGGUAAUGAUUAACAGGAACGGUUGGGGGUAUUCGUAUUCAAUUGUCAGAGGUGAAAUUCUUGGAUUUGUGGAAGACGAACUACUGCGAAAGCAUUUACCAAGGAUGUUUUCAUUAAUCAAGAACGAAAGUAG
rnacentral:rRNA from 1 species